GCCAGUAUGGUCUAGUGGUUUGAGUGUUUGACUAUGAUUCUCAAGACCAAGGUUCAAAUCCCAGUUCAGCCA